UUAAAAGUGCCUAUCUAACGGCAUUUCUUGGUUUCUUGGUUUAACAGAAUAUACUUUAAAAAUAAAAGAAUAUUCUGUUAAAUUUAACGAUGUUAGUAGGUUUGAUCUCCUGUUGACUUUAAAAAAUGUAUAAAUAAUUAAACCUAAAAAAUUAAACAAUCUUUUUUUAAAUUAAAAAAAAUCAUUUAGCCACACAUCUGUCUAACCUAGCAAACCGUAUAUUCCCAAUUUGAGAAAUUAUUGGGUGAUUUUUUAUUUAUAUAUAAUAAAAUAUUUGAGAACAAAUAUUUGAGUAUAUACGAUUGAGAACAAAUAGCGACUGAGUGACUUUUUUAAUUUAUAUUAUUUUAAAUAUGCAUUUAAAAAUAAUAUAAGAAAUAUGCACGAUACUCUCAUCUCUUUCAGUCCUCUUUUACAAUUUUUCUCAAUCUUUUGUCAAUUUUUUUUUGAAGAUUACUUGUUACAGUCGUAAGGUUUUGAUCAGAAAUAAUGGUAGAUGAAGCAGGUUCCCUCAAAUCGAUGAAGCCAAGGAUUCAUAUCCAAUCAGGCGACAUCAAAUCUGGCGCAUUCAAAUUCGAGAAGUAUUUGCCUUUGGUUUUAUCAAAAUGUGAUGUUCCCCCAAGACCCAUUCCUGGAACAAACCCUCCCCAAGAAUCUCAAAUCCAUAUGCCCAACUUCGACGCCUUCACCUUCCAAGAUCUCCGAACACCUAACAUCUUUAAAUUUCUGCGAUUGAGCUGCAAAUCGAACCAAUCAGACGAAUUUAGAUGAGAUUUGUCCCAUUUUUAAUUCUAAACCAUUUGAACCGAGUGGGUCGAAGUACAACAGAGUCGUUUGGUAAGAUUUAUUGGUCCGCUUGGUCGAUUCGUUCAAGUAUAACACGGUGAGCAGUCGAUUAGUCGAGGCUCUUCAAUAGGAUGGAGCACAAUUGCUACGGUUGGUCCGAUUCGUUCAAGGUCAGGACGAUGAGUGGUCGAUUGGACAAGGCGAGCGAGUCGAACUACAACAAAGUCGUUCGGUUGCAGGCGGUGAUGGUACGGUUGGUUGGGUAUUGGAAUGUCUUGUAGAACCUAACAAAGAGAGUCGAAAUCCAAUUUCUUCCAUAGGAAUAAUUCCACUUGGUAUAGAAAAUGACCUAUCUAGGAGUUUUGGCUGGGGUGGUUCUUUUCCUUUCGCAUGGAAAUCAGCCAUUAAAAAAACACUCAACAAUGCUACUUCUUGUCAAAUUUGUCGUUUGGAUAGGAACAUAGUUUUGGUCAAGGUAGUGACUACAUGUGCUACGUUUUAUUUUAUGUUUAGGUUUGAUAGAAUCUCUCGACACUUAUUUACGGUAGAAGGCUAAUAUGAAUUUUGAUGAAGCAGUUGACAAAGUUCUAUUGUCAAUCCCUACUAGAGAAGUUGUGGAUCCGCCUCCCUCUCUGAAGCAUACAGAAGAGUGUGCUCUUGAUGAGGUUGAAAAUUUACAAUAUUAUUUUUCUGUUUACUUGAGUUUAUUGUAUGAUUUUUACCUGUAUAAAGUAAUUACUAAUCUGAGCCAUUAUAUGUGUCAUGAAUAAAAAGGAUGUAUUCGUUUAAUCGACAUGAAUUAUAAAUAAGAGAAAAGUUGAUUAGAUUUUAUCCUUAAA